rnacentral:tRNA from 2 species
GCCCAGGUGGCGGAAUUGGUAGACGCGCCAGCUUCAGGUGCUGGUUUCCGUAAGGAAGUGGAAGUUCGAGUCUUCUCCUGGGCACCA